UUACAUUUUCCUUCUUUUUAUUUUUUAAAAUUAGAUCAAAAUGACAUUGGACAUAUAUUAUAAAAUAAAAACAAAGAUCUUUUGACAUUUGAAAAAAAUUGUAUUGAUCUCACAUUGUCUGACACAAACAUUAGCAACUGAGCCAAGUAGAACCAAAAUAAAAACAUUUGGUGAGGGGCUGGGGCCUACAAUGUGUUUGUGUUUUGUCUAGUUGUGUAACACCGAGGGCUAAGGAUCAAUGUUUUAUGAAAAUAAACUUGAUAGAAACACAAUGGAUCAGAACUCUCUGAUUUACGAAUCAAAAUAAUUAAAAGCUGAAUGUCUUUGGAAAGAGUGCGUGUC